rnacentral:rRNA from 1 species
UGGGGAAUUUUGCACAAUGGGGGAAACCCUGAUGCAGCGACGCCGCGUGAUUUAGAAGGCCUCCGGGUUGUAAAAAUCUUUUCUUUGGGAAGAAAAUGAAAGUACCAUAGGAAUAAGGACCGGUUAAUUACGUGCCAGCAGCCGCGGUAAUACGUAAGGUCCGAGCGUUGUCCGGAAUCAUUGGGCGUAAAGGGUACGUAGGCGGGUAGGCAAGUUAGAAGUGAAAUCCUGUAGCUCAACUACAGUAAGCUUUUAAAACUGCUCAUCUUGGGAUAUGGAAGGGAAAGUGGAAUUCCUAGUGUAGCGGUGAAAUGCGCAGAUAUUAGGAGGAAUACCGGUGGCGAAGGCGACUUUCUGGCCAUAAUCUGACGCUGAGGUACGAAAGCGUGGGUAGCAAACAGG